GUGAGAAUGCUGGCAUAAGUAGCGAGAAAUAAGUGAGAAUCUUAUUGGCCGAAAACCUAAGGUUUCCUGAGGAAGGUUCGUCCGCUCAGGGUUAGUCGGGACCUAAGCCGAGGCCGAAAGGCGUAGGUGAUGGACAAUCGGUUGAUAUUCCGAUACCGCCUAUUUACGUUUGAGAAAUGGGGUGACGCAGUAGGAUAAGAUGUGCGCACUAUUGGAUGUGCGUCUAAGCACUUAGGCAUGCUUGAUAGGCAAAUCCGUCGAGCUAAGCUGAGGUGUGAUGGGGAGCCAUUUAUGGCGAAGUAUCUGAUUCCACACUGCCAAGAAAAGCCUCUAUCGAGUGAAUAGGUGCCCGUACCGCAAACCGACACAGGUAGGUGAGGAGAGAAUCCUAAGGCCAUCGGAAGAAUUGCUGUUAAGGAACUCGGCAAAUUGACCCCGUAACUUCGGGAGAAGGGGUGCCUACGAAAGUAGGCCGCAGAGAAUAGGCCCAAGCAACUGUUUAGCAAAAACACAGGUCUCUGCUAAAGCGAAAGCUGAUGUAUAGGGGCUGACGCCUGCCCGGUGCUGGAAGGUUAAGGGGAACACUUAGCGUAAGCGAAGGUGUGAACUUAAGCCCCAGUAAACGGCGGCCGUAACUAUAACGGUCCUAAGGUAGCGAAAUUCCUUGUCGGGUAAGUUCCGACCCGCACGAAUGGCGUAAUGAUUUGGGCACUGUCUCAACAGCAAAUCCGGCGAAAUUGUAGUGCAAGUGAAGAUGCUUGCUACCCGCGAUUGGACGGAAAGACCCCGUAGAGCUUUACUGUAGCUUAGCAUUGAAUCUCGGUAUUGUCUGUACAGGAUAGGUGGGAGACUUGGAA
rnacentral:rRNA from 1 species